rnacentral:rRNA from 1 species
AUUGAACGCUAGCGGGAUGCCUUACACAUGCAAGUCGAACGGAGUGGCGAACGGGUGAGUAAUGUAUCGGAACGUGCCCAGUAGCGGGGGAUAACUACGCGAAAGCGUAGCUAAUACCGCAUACUAUUGGAGCGGCCGAUAUCGGAUUAGCUGGUUGGUGGGGUAACGGCUCACCAAGGCGAGGACCCGUAGCUGGUUUGAUAGGACGACCAGCCACACUGGGACUUAGAGUCUGCCGAGAUUCCUACGGGAGGCAGCGGUGGGGAAUUUUGGACAAUGGGGGAAAGCCUGAUCCAGCCUUCCCGCGUGAGGGAAGAAGGCCUUCGGGUUGUGAAGCACUUUUGGCAGGAAAGCGGUACCUGCAGAAUAAGCACCAGCUAACUACGUGCCAGCAGCCGCGGUAAUAC